AUACUUACCUGGCAGGGGAGUUACCAUGAUCAAGAAGGUGGUUCACCUAGGGUGAGGCUCAGCCAUUGCACUCCAGCUGUGCUGACCCUUACGAAUUCCCCAAAUGUGGGAAUCUCAACUGCAUAAUUUGUGGUAGUGGGGGACUGCGUUCGCGCUCUCCCCUG